GCAGAGUCUCAAUGACGUUUAUAAGAAACAGGUGUGAUGAUGUUGGUGCUCUCAUUCCUCAAGGGACCCUAAAAGAGGAGAGGGCACUCUUCCUGAAGGAACAUACCAGAAGCUUACAGAGAUACAUACGUUGUUUGUGGCUUUCCUGCAGGCUACAGAAAACCUCUGGUUGCAGGAGAAGAGGAAAGGAACUGUUCUAUCAUAUGAGAUUUCUAAGUUUAUAGUGGUGGUGCUGUGUUUUUAACUAUAUCUGAACACUUGCUCUGUCUCAUGUUCUUUCUUCAUGCCCCCCCAGUCCUUGAUCUCUCAGCUGGAAGCAACCAGCAUUUUUCACUCAGCACAAGGUCCUUUGAAGCGAUCCUUUGGAGUUCCCAAAUCCCUUUUGUUUAGCCUUUUCUCCAUCUGAGUUUGUUAAAUUUUAAAGUAUAGAAAAAACGACCACACAAACUGUUCCUUCAGCAAACAUCAUAUGAAGAAUGUUUUGGCAUUUCCAAAGUUCAUGUUUUCAGAGUGAAUAUGUCCAAAUAACGUCUUUUGAUGUUUGUUUCAAUUGCUGACUCUUUUCCUGCUGCUUUUUAUGUGCUGGAACAGCUCAGUGAGUUCUACCCUAAAUCAUCACUAGUCUCAGUACUAAUUUUGGGGCAAAAAAUACAGAAGGUCCCAAUCAUGCAGAUGCAACUGGAGUUUCACAUGCGAGAGCUGUGAGCCUGAUGUCUGUGCUGGGAAUACUUUGUUGAGAGAAAUAUUUCUGAAGGGAAAUACCUUAUAUAAUAAACUUCCUGAGUUUGUAUCAGUUGAAAACUCAUCAGAAAAGUUCUCUGAAGCUCAGAAAUCAACUGUUGCUCAUCUGCUGUUUGUUUAUUGGCCUACUUUCAUCCUACCACAGUGACGUCAAUCUUUCCUUCUUUUCAAAAUCUUUUCCAUUUGAACCAACCAAACAAAAGAAACCAUGCAUCUAAUGGAACAUUAAAACAGAGUUGAAACAAGCAAACAAGCUGCAAGCAGCUCCUGAAGGUGCACAGGAUGAUUAAAGGACCUGCAUUUCAACCCUUGAUGUGCACUGCAAUAUACAAGAGAGAAUUUUUAUUUUUUUUUUCAGCAUAUUUAUUGCAGGAAACAAUCAUUUUCUGGUUACUGGUUAUGAUACUAUGUUUUCUGCUGUGUCUAGACAGCAUAGUAAACACAUUGUCUGCUCUCCAAGGUGAAUUUGGCCUUGUUAGACUCAUAAAAAAAUACCGACUGAUUUCAGUGGCUGCUCGGUACUGUUUGAAUAUAGGGUUUAGCUUCUGUUGUUUUAUUCCAGCCACAUUUUCUUCACUUUUCUUGUUAUUUAGAAAGUGUAAAGUCUGUUUAUUUCAGCUCUGUGAUCUACAGUGUUUCAUGGUCCUAGAGACUCAUACUUGUUUGGUGAAAUAUCUAAGUAGAUGUUUAUAUAAUGACUCUUUCUUGAAAUUUAGUAUCUUCUGGGUUAACUUGAUAAAUAAUGCUAAAAGAAAAGGUGGCAGAGUCCUGUAUCCGUGUGUAGCUUUGACCAUGAAUAGUCUCACAGAAACUACUGGGACCAGGCAUGUUUCGUAAGGUUUAUUUCAUCAGGGCCAAACAUGAGAUUCGUGAAAAAAAACGAAGAUAUAGUUUACAGGGUAAUAGAAGACAAUGUGAAAUUAAGGUUAGCUUUUGCUCUUAUGGGCUUUCUGCUUUCUUUACCUCUCACAAGACUCCAAAUAGGUACUACUGCUAACUCUAAGUUCGUAUAGGACUGCAGUAAAAAAAUGAUAGCCAUUUAAUUGUAAAUAUAUAUGUAUGUUUGAAAUUUCAUGGUCAUGAAGGUUUUUUUUUGCCUGGUUUUGUUUUGCAAGGGGCACAGGCAGAGCAUGGGGUGAGUGACUGAAAAGAGUUGACCUGUUGUACAUUGCCUGAGGCUUGCAGGUGUGAGAACAAAGUUGAGCAGCUGUAUUUCUGCCUCUUCACAGGAGAAUGCCAAAAGGAGUGAACCAAAGACAUAAGGUCUGCGAAAACCUGUUUCCAGAGUAUAAACUGCAGACCAUUGCAGUUAUGGUGCCUGAAUACAAUCCAGUGGGAAGCAGUCCAGAGUGGCUGGACAUUCAGUGGCAUCUGAAAAGUACGGAACUCAAGGCCCAGCUUAGCUCAACCCAAAAGUAAGAAGAAUUUAGUGAGGAAGGCACCAGGGGUUCACUGAAAGGUCACAGUGAAGGCAGUGUCCACUGGAGGACAAGGUAACGUGAAAGUCUUUAUUUUGAGAGAAGUCUGGUGAAUCAUUUUGCUA
ensembl:lncRNA